GACGAACGCUGGCGGCGUGCUUAACACAUGCAAGUCGAACGGAAAGGCCCUGCUUUUGUGGGGUGCUCGAGUGGCGAACGGGUGAGUAACACGUGAGUAACCUGCCCUUGACUUUGGGAUAACUUCAGGAAACUGGGGCUAAUACCGGAUAGGAGCUCCUGCUGCAUGGUGGGGGUUGGAAAGUUUCGGCGGUUGGGGAUGGACUCGCGGCUUAUCAGCUUGUUGGUGGGGUAGUGGCUUACCAAGGCUUUGACGGGUAGCCGGCCUGAGAGGGUGACCGGCCACAUUGGGACUGAGAUACGGCCCAGACUCCUACGGGAGGCAGCAGUGGGGAAUAUUGCACAAUGGGCGGAAGCCUGAUGCAGCAACGCCGCGUGCGGGAUGACGGCCUUCGGGUUGUAAACCGCUUUCGCCUGUGACGAAGCGUGAGUGACGGUAAUGGGUAAAGAAGCACCGGCUAACUACGUGCCAGCAGCCGCGGUGAUACGUAGGGUGCGAGCGUUGUCCGGAUUUAUUGGGCGUAAAGGGCUCGUAGGUGGUUGAUCGCGUCGGAAGUGUAAUCUUGGGGCUUAACCCUGAGCGUGCUUUCGAUACGGGUUGACUUGAGGAAGGUAGGGGAGAAUGGAAUUCCUGGUGGAGCGGUGGAAUGCGCAGAUAUCAGGAGGAACACCAGUGGCGAAGGCGGUUCUCUGGGCCUUUCCUGACGCUGAGGAGCGAAAGCGUGGGGAGCGAACAGGCUUAGAUACCCUGGUAGUCCACGCUGUAAACGGUGGGUACUAGGUGUGGGGUCCAUUCCACGGGUUCCGUGCCGUAGCUAACGCUUUAAGUACCCCGCCUGGGGAGUACGGCCGCAAGGCUAAAACUCAAAGGAAUUGACAGGGCCCCGCACAAGCGGCGGAGCAUGCGGAUUAAUUCGAUGCAACGCGUAGAACCUUACCUGGGUUUGACAUGGAUCGGGAGUGCUCAGAGAUGGGUGUGCCUCUUUUGGGGUCGGUUCACAGGUGGUGCAUGGCUGUCGUCAGCUCGUGUCGUGAGAUGUUGGGUUAAGUCCCGCAACGAGCGCAACCCUUGUUCACUGUUGCCAGCACGUUAUGGUGGGGACUCAGUGGAGACCGCCGGGGUCAACUCGGAGGAAGGUGGGGAUGACGUCAAGUCAUCAUGCCCCUUAUGUCCAGGGCUUCACGCAUGCUACAAUGGCUGGUACAGAGAGUGGCGAGCCUGUGAGGGUGAGCGAAUCUCGGAAAGCCGGUCUCAGUUCGGAUUGGGGUCUGCAACUCGACCUCAUGAAGUCGGAGUCGCUAGUAAUCGCAGAUCAGCAACGCUGCGGUGAAUACGUUCCCGGGGCU
rnacentral:rRNA from 1 species